GCCUCACUCUCUGUAGCCGCCCCAUCGCUGGAAUAUUGGACCAUCAGAUCCAACUGGAGCUGGGGUCGAAAACCAUUUGUCGCAGAUCCACCAUGCUUGGGUGCGAAAGCAAGAGAUCACAUGCUUGGUUUGAGAAUUUCUGUUGGAGGCCAUAUUCUAGCCCAACGAAGGCCCCUUUCAUCCUUUGUUUUGCUCAUUGGAGAAAAGGCAUGAUGAUUCUAUGUGGAUUAUGGCAUCGAAUACCAUCACAAUUAAGAAAAAAUAUCUCAAUCUCCUCACAAAGGAGCUAUUGGUUGAGUUGCACAGUCCAGAGUGCAAGUGUCUUUAUGAAGCUGGAUUUAAGAUCUAAGUAUCGCCAAAUUGAGUAGUAUUCAGGGAUGUGGACAAGAUGACUCUUGGGAGACAUGAGAGGCACUGUCAAUUCAAAGUCAUGCCCUUUAGGCUAAUUAACACCCUUGCAACAUUCCAAAACUGGAAGAAUGAGGUGUUCAGACAUUCUUUGAGAAUAUAUAUAUAUAUAUAUAUAUAUAUAUAUAAUCACAUCCUUAUUCAUAAUCAAAAUUGAGAUGACGAUGUCCAAAAUGCAAAAUUAGCCUUGGAGGUUCUCCAAGCAUCAACUAUUCUCCAGGAAUGCAUUUGGCAUAAACAUGGCUAGGAAUGGACAAACACACACACACACACACACAAAAAAAAAGGAUUUAGGUGGUUGUGGUGUUCAUUGGCUUGGUUAUACAAUUUGUGCACAUGCUGAGGGCAUUUCUUAGGAUUUUCAAGUCCUACCACCAUUUUAUCCAGCGUUACAACCUCAUGGUUGUAUCUCUCACGUGUGUUCUUAAGAAGGAGGGUUUCCAUUAGGCAGAAAAAGCUUAGCAAGCUUUUGAGGAAUUGAAGAAACAUAUUUAUCUCAUUGCUAGUCAUGACCUUGCCCAAGUACAGCAACCCGGUUACAGUGGAGAAGGAUGACUCGGUUGUACGAUUCAAAGGGAUAUGCUGACAAGGAGGUCACCCCAUAGCCUAUUUAGUAGGGCAAUGGAUGGACGUUUCGUGCAACUGGCAUUCCAUCUUUGAGGAAGCUCAUCAUGAUAGUACUGGUGAGUCAAAAAUGAUUUUACAAUUUGCUAGGGAGGCUGUUUACUCCCAUCACCACCCUGUGUUACCUCUCAAGUCAACAAGUAUCUACACCAGGCCAGCAGAAAACCAUUAACAAGCUACGUGGAUUUGAUUUUAGGGUGAAGUAUUGGAAGGGGCUUGCAGUGGUGCAACAGAUGAGUUGUCGCAGAAAGAGGAUGUCUGAAGCUGGUGUGUUAUGUUGUCAGCUACUUCCUGUCGUUUGUGGGAACAAGUUAGGAAGGAGCACCAAGAAAAUUUGAAGGUUCAGAAGCUUGUUCAAAAGUGUGAGAAAACCUGAAUGCCUGUUUCUAGGUAGUGCAUGACCAACCUCUGUUCUAUGGCCAGCAGGUGUGCUUGCUAAAAUGGACUCCUGAUUGAUACUCAUAUCUUAGACUAUUUUACUCCAGACUUUAAAUAGGACAUCAAGGAGCUGAGUGCACCUAACUUAAGGUGAAACCAAUUUCUAUUGGCUGCGAAUUCUGUAAAUUAUUCAAGUGUGUGGGUAGGUGUAUGCAAUGCCUGAAAGUAUGGGAGGGUUGAAAGUAUUUAGAUAUGUAUAGCCCCUUUUGGUGCCAGAAGAAAUGGAUUUCAUUGACGGCCUUCCAAAAGCUCAAGCCAAGUCUUUGAUUCUUGUGGUGGUCAAUAGGCUGUCCAAAUACGUUAUUUCAUUACUUUGUCACCCCUUGCCACAUGUUGUGUGGCAAACACAUUCCAUGAGCACGUGGGCAAGUUUCAUAGGAUGCCACAUUCUAUUCUAGGCAAUCCGACAUGGUUUUCCUCAGCAUUUUGGAAUGAUUAUUUCACUUUUCCAGGUACCCUAUGCCAUAUGUGGUCAGCUUAACAUCAGCAAAUGGAUAGCCAGAUGCACGGAAUCCUACUCGUCUGUGUUGUUUAACUAAGUAAACAACCUCGUAAUUGAAAUUUUUCCUGUCAUGGGCAGAUUUUUCCUGUAAUACUGCAUACCAGUCAGCCAUUGGAAUGUCGCCCUAUGAGGCAGUCUUUAGCUGUAUCCUCCACCCCAAUUACAAUGUUGUGAUGGAGGUUGGAUCUUUGUGGUUGUCUCUGUUGCACUUUUGCAUUGUACAGAUGAAGUGCUUAGGAUUCUGGAGAAGAAUAUUUAUGCAGCUCAGAGUGAAGCAGGAGGAUGAUAAGAAUUGGAAAGAAUGGGAUUUUGAGUUGUGACUGACACUGCAUCAAUUAGUUCAUCAACAUCCCAAUCUGAAUAAAUCUUCUUCCUGCUAUUCUGGCUCUUCUGAAGUGGUGGCAAAGGAUUGAAGACCUGCUUAUCAUCUGCCACUUACCUGAGAACUGAGAAGUGAGAACAGCAAUAUGCGUCCAGUGUUGCUCGUGUUAUGGUUGAAACCUAUCCUAUCGAGGAACAAGAACCUUGGCUACUUUGUAUGCUGGAACAGAGUAGGGUAACAAAACAGCAGUGCUUAGUGCCAGGGAUGUUUAUUGAAUGGAAACCGUGGAGCCCAGGGAAGCACAUGGGAAGUAGCCAAUCCUCCAGCAAUUUCCGUGCUUCUCACCUUUGAGGACGAGCUGUCGUUUAAGAGGAGGGAGUAUGUCAGUCAUAGGUGUCUACGAAGCAAAGAGAUUAAAAUGAAUUCAAAGCUGGAAUAUUUGAGAAGCUUGUAAAAGUUGUAGAAGGAUACUCAAACUAAGUGCAACACUAAAUGUAUUAACUAUGUAUCUGAGUUGUCUGCUGUUUUUGAAAUGAGAGAAUUUCCGAGAUGGAAUUAGGUUUGCUACAAUCUUGCUUGCCAUCGGAGAAGGUGAUGCAGGUGGGUGCUGUAGUGCCUUGCCCUCAUGGAUGUGAUUGGUACGUCUCAUCUGCCUCCUGACAUUUAUUCAGAUGUAAUCUUCGGAUGGGCAAUAACGGAUACGAGAUUAGGUCAAAUUUGGUGCCCACCAGUCAAUGUUAACUCGCUGUAAUGUUCAUCCACCGGAGUAGAGCUGCUGCUUCUUGAUAGUGGUUCUUAUGUCUUGAAGCAGGCAUUUGCACGCUAUCUGUCGUUGGAUAUUGUAAAUGUUUGGGUUUUUUGUUGGCACGUUACGAGAAUCAAGUGGUUAUUUAAUUGGCAAGAUAUGAAUUUCUAUUACCACA